AUUGAACGCUGGCGGCAGGCCUAACACAUGCAAGUCGAACGGUAGCACAGGAGAGCUUGCUCUUCGGGUGACGAGUGGCGGACGGGUGAGUAAUGCAUGGGGAGCUGCCCAAUCGAGGGGGAGACCAGCUGGAAACGGCUGCUAAUACCACAUACGCCCUGACGGGGCAAGGUGGGGACCUUCGGGCCUACCGCGAUUGGAUGACCCCAUGUGGGAUUAGCUAGUUGGUGAGGUAACGGCUCACCAUGGCGACGAUCUCUAGCUGGUCUGAGGGGAUGACCAGCCACACUGGAACUGAGACACGGUCCAGACCCCUACGGGAGGCAGCAGUGGGGAAUAUUGCACAAUGGGGGAAACCCUGAUGCAGCCAUGCCGCGUGUGUGAAGAAGGCCUUCGGGUUGUAAAGCACUUUCAGUGGGGAGGAAGGGGCGAUGACUAAUACUCAUCGUCAUUGACGUUACCCACAGAAGAAGCACCGGCUAACUCCGUGCCAGCCGCCGCAGUAA
rnacentral:rRNA from 1 species